rnacentral:lncRNA from 1 species
UUGUAGGUUAAGUACCUGACGAGGUUUAAAAAUACCAUGCUUAGAGCGAGUGGUCAUAGGAUGAUUGGAGACGACAGGAUUGGGAGGUGAUGUUGGGUGAGGAUCUGUGGCACAAGCCAGGUCAAGUGGAGACACGUCAGGGGCACUUGGGCGAGAAGGAGGUAAAGAGGAUGGUUGUGUUUCGGAACAUAUUGCCCCAUCAAUUGGGGAAGAGUGGAGUGGAGUAGGAACAGAG